CUUGAAUAAACUUUUCUUCCUAAAAUUGUUCUGGUCAGAUCCUUUAGUCACAGCAGUGAAAAAGCUGACUAAAACAAGCAUAUUCCCAGCUCAGGGGCUCUGAACUUGCUAUUUUCUGGUUCUAGAAAAUUCUUCUGUAUCAGCAAACCUUGGUCUUUUAUUCUACCAAUUUUUUUUUAAUUUGUAGAAUGCAGCAAAAGCAGAGUUUAGAGAUAAUUUAAAGCAUCGAAAGUAUAUAUCAGAAAAACAAGAAGGAUCUAAAAUCAAUUGUCUAAUUUUCUUAGAAAAUGUUCAAAAUAAGAGGUUAGAAGAUUUGAACCAAUUCUUUGAUGUAUAAGUUUGUCAAAAUUUACACAAGAAGGAAUAAACAAUCUAAAUAGGCCUAACUGCAAAAUAAAUGGAAUUAAUAAUUGCUUAUGUAUAAAAACAGAAAGCAACAGGUCCAGGUGGGUUCACUGAUGAAUUUUAGCUAAUAUUUAAUAAAGAGAUAUACCACUUCUUAAUAAUCUCUUCACAGGUUAGAAACAGAAUAAAUACUUCUAUGAAAUUAAUAUAUCUUAAUAUCAAAAAUAGACAAUGACAUUACAAGAAAACUACAGAUAAAUUUAUCUUUCAAGAACAGAGAUGCAAAACUCACCAGCCAAAUAUUAGCAGAUUUUAUCCAACAACAUAUGUAAAAAUUAUGUGCCAUAACCAGGCAAGAUUAUCCCAGGUAGGGAAGGAUGAUCCAACAUUCAAAUAUCAAUUAAAGCAGUCUAUCACAUUCACAGGUAAAAAGAAAAAGCUUCAUGUCAUAUCAACAGAUGAAAAAAAUGCAUUUGACAAAAUCCAGCACCUGAAAAUCUAUGAUAAAAACCCUCAGUAAAAUAUGAACAGAGGGGAACUCCUUCAGUUGGAUAAAGCACAUCUAUAAAAACUCUACAACCAAAAUUUCAAUGGCAAAGACCUCAAAGUGUUCCCACCAAGAUGUGGAACCAAGCAAGGAAAUCCCUCUCACCUUUUCUCUUUAACAUUGUCCUAGAAUCUCUAUUCAAUUCAGUAAAAUAAGAAAAUGAAUAAAAAGUAUAUAAAUUGAGAGAAGAGAAAGAAAAUAUCUUUGUCCACAGACGAUAUGGCCAUCUGUUAUAAAAUCCAAAAUAAUCAACAAGGAUACAUAUGGAAUAAAUGAUGAUAGCAAGAUUACAAUUAUACAAAGUUAAUAUACAAAAGCCAAUUUUGUAUACAACCAGUAAACAAGUAGAAUUUGAAAUUAAAAACACAACAUUAUUUACAUUAGCACCCAUAAAAAUGAAAUACUUAGGUAUAACUCUACAACAUCCAUAAGAGGAAAACUAUAAAACCCUGAUAAGUGAAAUCAUAGAAGAGCUAAAUAGUGGAGAGAUCAAUAAUUCCAUGUUCAUGGAUCAGAGGAAGACUCAAUAUUGUCAAGAUGUUCAACGUACUUCCAAUCAAAAUUACAGCAAGUCAUUUUGUGUAUAUAAGCAAAUUCAUUCUACAUUUUAUAUGUAGAAUCAAAUAGUCAAACAAUAUUGAAACAGAAGAAAGUAGUUGAACUGAAAAUAUCUGACUACAAGACUUACUAUAAAACUACACUAAUUAAGACAGACUAGUGUUGAUGAAACAAAAGACACCUAGAUCAAUGAGACAGAAUAGAGCCCAAAUAUAAAUAAAUAUGUUCAACUUACCUUUGACAAAGGAACAAAGGCAAUACAAUUGAGGAAAUAUAGUAUUUUCAACAAAUGCAAAACUAGAACCACUGAACAUCCACAUGCAAAAAACAGAUCUUUUGCCCUUCACAAAAAUGAACUCUAAGCGGAUCAUAAACCUAAGUGUAAAAGACAAAACUAUAAUACUCCUAGAACAUAACAUGGGAGAAAAAUCUUGAUGAUCUUGGCUAGGUCUAUGAUUUUUUUUAGUUUUAGCACCAAAGGAAUAAUCAACAAAUAAAAAAUUAAUAAACUGUGCUAAAUUAAAAUUUAAAAUAUAUGCCCUACAAAAGACAAUGUCGAGAGAAUAAGAGAGCACAUUCUUGAAGAAAAUAUUUGCAAAACAUAUAAUUAAUACAUUUAAUUAAUGUAAUUAAUAUAGCACUGUUAUCCAAAGUAUAUGAAGAAAUCUUAAAACUCGACAAUAAGAAAACAAGCAGCCAAAUUAAAAUCUGUACCAAGGACAUUAAUAGAUACUUCAUCAAAGAAGAUAGGAAAAUGUCAAUAAAUAUAUAAAGAGAUGCUCCUCACUUUAUUUAAUCAGAAAUGCAAAUUAAACAACAAUGAAAUAUUACUACACACUGAAAAUGGC
rnacentral:lncRNA from 1 species